rnacentral:rRNA from 1 species
UAUACUGUGAAACUGCGAAUGGCUCAUUAAAUCAGUUAUAGUUUAUUUGAUGGUACCUUACUACUCGGAUAACCGUAGUAAUUCUAGAGCUAAUACGUGCGCAAAUCCCGACUUCCGGAAGGGACGUAUUUAUUAAAUAAAAGGCCGACCGGGCUUGCCCGACUCGCGGUGAAUCAUGAUAACUUCACGAAUCG